GGAAAAUUCCGGAAGCCAGCUUGGAGGAGAAGCCAGAGAGCUUGGAAGAGGCCUGGAUGUUUUGCCUUUUUCAAGAGUUGCAGAUUUGUCCAGGCUCCUGCUCUACCAUCAGAUGUUUUUGGAGAGAGAGUGCCUGUAAGGAACUAGAUUUCUGACCACCGUCACUGAAGUGGAUUCAUUUGUGGGAUGGGCAAUAAAAGCAAAAUCCAAGCCAAGUAAAAGAAGAAGAAGAACCACCACCCCUCCCGCUCUUCCAGCUGCUGCCUUCCAUCGCAGACAAAGCUGCCAACAGUUUGACCCUUAUCUUAAAGGAAAAUAAGGUGAAAAAUAUGUGUGGAGAGGGAAAUGAUCCAAAUGCCUAGAAUUUACAAUUAUCACAUUUUUACUUCUCCUCUUCAAACAGUAUGCCAUUUUAUGGAUGGU